GACGAACGCUGGCGGCGCGCCUAACACAUGCAAGUCGAACGAGCGAGAGAGAGCUUGCUUUCUCGAGCGAGUGGCGGACGGGUGAGUAACGCGUGGGUAACCUGCCUCAUACAGGGGGAUAACAGUUAGAAAUGACUGCUAAUACCGCAUAAGCGCACAGUGCUGCAUGGCACAGUGUGAAAAACUCCGGUGGUAUGAGAUGGACCCGCGUCUGAUUAGCUAGUUGGUGGGGUAACGGCCUACCAAGGCGACGAUCAGUAGCCGGCCUGAGAGGGUGAACGGCCACAUUGGGACUGAGACACGGCCCAA
rnacentral:rRNA from 1 species